rnacentral:lncRNA from 1 species
CACACAAUGUGAAAUGAGCUCGUUAAGAGUCCAUUUCUCCUUCAGGCAGUUGUAACUGACCUUAAACUGAUUAAAGUGUGCAGGAAAAGAUAUCAAAACUAAGUACACAAGCAGUUCCUCAGGUAAUACCAGCUUGAGUGACUUAAGUUUCGAAGCAAGAUGAGACAUUUCCAAAAUGUACUCCCGAAUGUUUCCCUUGCCCUUAUACCUCAUGGAAACAAUUUUACUCAAUAGUCUACUUGUUUCCGCCUUUUCGUUUUGCAUAAAA